CGAUGAGGCGUGCCCAAGUGUCUUAAUGUGGUUUUUACCUUCUUUUAUCAAAAUCAGUGUUUUAUUUAUAUAUGUGUGUGUGUGUAUACUCUAUAUAUAGAUAUAUAGCAAUAUUCCACUUAAACAUUAUAAAAACCGCUGCUGAAUCACAAUAUUACAGUAUAUAUUAUAAUUAAUAUUAAGCUAAGUUAAAACGGAUUUUGGCAGCGCCCAUUAUGUAUGCCACAACAUUUUCAAUAAGGCCUGAAUGGUUCUAAUAAAAUAUAAUUUCCUUGAAGGAACCUAAUUUUAGAUUUCACACUCGCUAUGUUUUAAUUCAACUU